rnacentral:rRNA from 1 species
CAGUCGCAUCUGUUGGGAUUCAGCCUGGCUUCUGCCUGGUGUAUUUCCUUUCCGAUGGGUCAGCAUCAGUUUCGACCAAGGGAAAAAGACAUUUGGAAUGUGGCUGUCUUCGGGCAGUGUUAUAGCCUUGUGUUGUAUGUCUUGGUUGGGACUGAGGAACGCAGCGCGCCCCUUCGCGGGGGGCCGGGUUCGCCCACGUAACGCGCUUAGGAUGCUGGCGUAAUGGCUUUAAGCGACCCGUCUUGAAACACGGACCAAGGAGUCUAACAUAUGUGCGAGUGUUU